GAUGAACGCUGGCGGCGUGCCUAAUACAUGCAAGUCGAGCGAACAGAUGAUGAGCUUUCUCCUCUGACGUUAGCGGCGGACGGGUGAGUAACACGUGGAUAACCUACCUAUAUUACUGGGAUAACUUCGUGAAGCCGGUGCUGAUACCGCAUAAUAUAUUGAACGGCAUGGUUCAAUAGUUCAAGACGGCUUUGCUGACACUUAUAGACGGAUCCGCGCCGCAUUAGCUAGUUGGUAAGGUAACGGCUUACCAAGGCAACGAUGCGUAGCCGACCUGAGAGGGUGAUCGGCCACACUGGAACUGAGACACGGUCCAGACUCCUACGGGAGGCAGCAGUAGGGAAUAUUGCGCAAUGGGCGCAAGCCUGAUCCAGCAAUGCCGCGUGAGUGAUGAAGGCCUUCGGAUCGUAAAGCUCUUUUAUUAGGGAAGAAAAAAUGUAUAAGUAACUCUGCACGUCUUGACGGUACCCAAUCAGAAAGCCCCGGCUAACUUCGUG
rnacentral:rRNA from 1 species